GCCUUCGGAGGAAUCAACGGCAGACCACACCGGUCGCGAGUCUUGAUUGGAUUCUCUUCCUUGUGGCUCGAGUGUAUGCGCGGGUUCGACUCCCGCCGAAGGCG
rnacentral:tRNA from 1 species